rnacentral:rRNA from 1 species
GAUGAACGCUGGCGGCGUGCCUAAUACAUGCAAGUCGAGCGAACAGACGAGGAGCUUGCUCCUCUGACGUUAGCGGCGGACGGGUGAGUAACACGUGGAUAACCUACCUAUAAGACUGGGAUAACUUCGGGAAACCGGAGCUAAUACCGGAUAAUAUAUUGAACCGCAUGGUUCAAUAGUGAAAGACGGUUUUGCUGUCACUUAUAGAUGGAUCCGCGCCGCAUUAGCUAGUUGGUAAGGUAACGGCUUACCAAGGCAACGAUGCGUAGCCGACCUGAGAGGGUGAUCGGCCACACUGGAACUGAGACACGGUCCAGACUCCUACGGGAGGCAGCAGUAGGGAAUCUUCCGAAAUGGGCGAAAGCCUGACGGAGCAACGCCGCGUGAGUGAUGAAGGUCUUCGGAUCGUAAAACUCUGUUAUUAGGGAAGAACAAAUGUGUAAGUAACUAUGCACGUCUUGACGGUACCUAAUCAGAAAACCACGGCUAACUACGU